UCUAACUUGUUACCCCCUUCUUCAUUUUUCUCCCACCCUCGCUCCAUGGAUCAAUCAAUUCUUAAUGAUGACUCAUGUUGCUUAAUAUUAAAAGAAUAUAUAUAUUUAUAUAUAUUGUUUACCUCAUAAAAACCAGUUGAUGGAUUUAAUUAUAGGAAGUUGUUAAUAAAAUAUUUCAGCAUAAUAGGUAGAGCUCUUAAAUGCUUCUGCAGUAUAAAUGAAACAAAUGCAACAGUUAGGCAAAACAAGUUAAUUCACUUGACAGUAUUCCAAGUUGUAAAAGGACAGACCAGCAUCUGAAUGGAAUGCAUUUAAGAUUUUUAAUGUGGCAAUUAAACAUGGUUUGGGGGCUAUGUAAAUUAGCAUGUUUUUAAACUGCAUUUAUGGUCAUCUUAAUCUGAUAUGGCUGACUUAAUUUCAUAGUCAUUUGAGUACAGUUAAUUCUACUUUAUAGUUGCUUACAAGGAAAUUAUGUUUCAUGCUGUGUGUUGAGGUUUAGUAAAUUAAAGAAAAUUGUUAUUGUUGGGGAAAAAAUUCAUUGUUUAACUAGCAUCUAAACUUGCUGCCUACAAGGGAUUAUUGGUCUAUCAUACUUUAAAAGAUGGUUUUUAAAUCUGUAUUAUAGAUUGACAGUUACAAUAGAAAGACAGAGAUGUACAAAUUUAAUCAAAAGAUCUUUAAACACUGCAGUGGGUCAGUCUACAUUUUCUCGAAGUGGUUAGUGAUUAAUCCAUGGCAGUUGUGAAGAUGUUCCAGUUGCUAAUCCUCUUCUGCCAUAUAUGUGGAUGCCUUUCUGAUCUUCCCAAGAGAUAAUCUAUUGAAAUGAUAAUCUAUUAAGAUUAUAAAUCCA